UACGUAGGGGGCGAGCGUUGUCCGGAAUUACUGGGCGUAAAGGGUGCGUAGGUGGCCUUUUAAGUUGGAUGUGAAAUCCCCGGGCUUAACUCGGGGGGUGCAUUUGAAACUACCUUGCUUGAGUGCAGGAGAGGAAAGCGGAAUUCCUAGUGUAGCGGUGAAAUGCGUAGAUAUUAGGAAGAACACCAGUGGCGAAGGCGGCUUUCUGGACUGUAACUGACGCUGAGGCACGACAGCGUGGGGAGCAAACAGGAUUAGAUACCCUGGUAGUCCACGCUGUAAACGAUGGAUACUAGGUGUGGGGGAGAUACUACCUCUGUGCCGCAGCAAACGCAAUAAGUAUCCCGCCUGGGGAGUACGGCCGCAAGGCUGAA
rnacentral:rRNA from 1 species